CACCACCAGCUACCUUGCCAACUGACAGACACACUUCCUAGGCUUAGAAUUACGGCAACAAUCCCUAAACACACUGCAAACUAACAGUCCUCUCUUUCCGAUUUACAGCCCCCCUCUCUUGGCUUAAAAUAACUCACCAUCGUCGGCUACGGC